rnacentral:rRNA from 1 species
GUAGGUGGCAAGCGUUGUCCGGAUUUAUUGGGUUUAAAGGGUGCGUAGGCGGUCUAUUAAGUCAGUGGUGAAAUAUCGCAGCUUAACUGUGAGGGUGCCAUUGAUACUGAUGGACUUGAGUGAAGUCGAGGUAGGCGGAAUUGACGGUGUAGCGGUGAAAUGCUUAGAUAUCGUCAAGAACACCGAUAGUGAAGACAGCUUACUAGGCUUAUACUGACGCUGAGGCACGAAAGUGUGGGGAUCAAACAGGAUUAGAUACCCUGGUAGUCCACACUGUAAACGUUGAUUACUCGCUGUUGGCGAUACACAGCCAGCGGCCAAGCGCAAGCGAUAAGUAAUCCACCUGGGGAGUACGCCGGCAACGGUGAA